rnacentral:misc_RNA from 1 species
AGAAAGAGAAGGAAACUGUGAAGGAAAUCUUAACAACUGCUCAUGUUGUGCUUGCAACAAACAUUGGGGCAGCUGAUCCACUAAUUAGACGGCUGGAUGCAUUUGAUUUGGUUAUUAUAGAUGAAGCUGGCCAAGCAAUUGAACCAUCAUCUUGGAUACCAAUAUUGCUCGGAAAGCGUUGUAUACUUGCAGGAGAUCAAUUCCAGCUUGCUCCUGUGAUCCUUUCUAGGAAAGCCUUAGAAGGUGGCCUUGGAGUUUCAUUACUGGAGAGGGCAGCAACUUUGCAUGAUGGGAUGCUGUCGACAAAGUUAACAACACAGUACAGAAUGAACGAUGCCAUAGCUAGCUGGGCUUCAAAGGAGAUGUAUGAUGGAUCUUUAACAUCGUCUCCAACCGUUGCUUCUCAUCUUCUGGUGGAUUCUCCUUUUGUCAAGCCAACAUGGAUUACACAGUGUCCGCUGUUAUUGCUUGAUACGAGAAUGCCUUACGGAAGCUUAUCAGUUGGUUGUGAAGAGCAUCUGGACCCUGCUGGCACUGGCUCCUUUUUCAAUGAAGGGGAAGCAGAAAUCGUUAUUCAACAUAUAUUCAGUUUAAUUUAUGCUGGUGUUCCUCCUGCAGCCAUUGCUGUGCAGUCUCCUUAUGUUGCUCAAGUGCAACUACUUAGAGACAGGAUUGAUGAGAUUCCAAUGGCUACUGGCGUUGAUGUUGCAACUAUUGAUAGCUUUCAAGGCCGUGAAGCAGAUGCUGUGAUUAUAUCCAUGGUUCGAUCAAACAAUUUGGGGGCAGUUGGCUUUUUGGGAGACAACAGGCGAAUGAAUGUUGCAAUAACAAGGGCGCGCAAGCAUGUAGCAGUUGUCUGUGACAGUUCAACUAUAUGUCACAACACAUAUUUGGCCAGGCUUCUUCGUCAUAUUAGAUAUGUUGGCAAAGUAAAGCAUGUUGAACCCGGCAGCUUCUGGGAAUUUGGCCUUGGUAUGGAUCCAAUGUUGCCUACUACCAGUUAACCUUGAAAGAGUUCAACAAAACCAAAUUUUUAAUGCUUCUGCCCAUCUGGUGAAUGUUUGGGCGGACUCUCACAUACGUUGAUGCCCUGGUUCGAUCUGCAAAUUAUAUAUUCAGGUUUUUGACCACGAGAACAAAGCACGGGGUAAUUUUCAUUUGUAUAUAUAAUUCAAAGAAAAAACUUUAUGAAACAUGUAAAUAUAUAUUCAUACAGCUACGAUGUCUAUACGAUUCUUGAUUGUUUAACUAUAGU